AGGGUCCACGGCGGAUGCCUUGGAGCUGUCCGGCGAAGAAGGUCGUGGUAAGCUGCGAAAAGCCAGGGGGAAGAGCAAACAUCUAAUGAUCCCUGGAUAACCGAAUGGGGUAACCCGGCAGAGUAGACUCUCUGUCACUGUUAGGUGAACAAACUAGCCUAAUGGAGCGAUACUCGGGGAACUGAACCAUCUAAGUACCCGAAGGAAAAGACAUCAAUUGAGAUUGCCUCAGUAGCGGCGAGCGAACGGGUAAGAGCCCAAACCUGGGUGCGUGCACUCAGGGGUUGUAGGGCGUGCAAUAAAGUGUAAGCGGCGUGUAGAAAAACGGUAUUGGAAAAGCCGGCCAGAGAGGGUGAAAGCCCCGUAUUCGAAACACAAAGUUUAUGCGAGUGCGUACCUGAGUAGGACGGGACACGAGAAAUCCUGUCUGAAUCUGGGAGGACCACCUUCCAAGGCUAAAUACGAGACAGCUACCGAUAGCGAAUAGUACCGUGAGGGAACGGUGAAAAGCACCCCGGGAGGGGAGUGAAAGAGAACCUGAAACCGUGGACCUACAAGCGGUCAAAGCCUCAAUUUAUUGGGGUGAUGGCGUGCCUUUUGUAGAAUGAGCCUGCGAGUUACCGUAUGUUGCGAGGUUAAGGUUUAGUAGAACCGAAGCCUAAGGGAAACCGAGUCUGAAUAGGGCGUUAAGUAGCAUGCGGUAGACCCGAAGCCGAGUGAUCUAUCCAUGUCCAGGUUGAAGCUUUGGUAACACAAAGUGGAGGACCGAACCCUAGUCUGUUGAAAAAGGCAGGGAUGAGGUGUGGAUAGGAGUGAAAGGCUAAUCAAACUCGGAGAUAGCUGGCACUCCUCGAAAUAGCUUUAGGGCUAGCCUCGCUUUAGUUUGCCGGAGGUAGAGCACUGAUUGGGCUAGGGCCUUUCACCGGGUACCAAACUCAGUCAAACUCCGAAUGCCGGUUAAAUGAUGAGCGGGAGUCAGACUACGGGUGACAAGAUUCGUGGUCGAGAGGGAAACAGCCCAGACCGUCAGCUAAGGUCUCAAAACUAUGCUCGAGUGGAAAAGGAAGUGCAACGGCGAAGACAGCCAGGAGGUUGGCUUAGAAGCAGCCAUACCUUUAAAGAGUGCGUAACAGCUCACUGGUCGAGUCGUUGUGCGCCGACAAUGUAACGGGGCUAAGCAUAGUACCGAAGCUACGGCUUGUAUGGUUUACCAUACAGGGGUAGAGGAGCAUUCCAUGUACUGUUGAAGGUGUCCUGAAAGGGAUGCUGGAGGGGAUGGAAGAGAGAAUGCAGGCAUGAGUAACGAAAAGACAGGUGAGAUCCCUGUCCGCCGAAAGCCUAAGGAUUCCAGGGUUAAGGUAAUCUGCCCAAGGGUUAGUCGGCCCCUAAGGCGAGGCCGAAAGGCGUAGCCGAUGGGAAACAGGUUAAUAUUCCUGUACCUCCUACAGGACUGAUGGAACGACGCAUGAGGCGAACCCGGGCCGGGCGAUGGUUGUCCCGGUCUAAGCAUUAAGCUGAUGAGACAUGUAGGCAAAUCCGCAUGUUGAGGUGAGAUGUUAAGGCGAGCAGACCUUCGGGAAUGCGAAGCCGGUGGAGUCAAGGUGCCGAGAAAGAGUUUCUAAAGAUAUGCUGUAGGGGACCGUACCGUAAACCGACACAGGUAGGCGGGAAGAGUAUUCUCAGGCGCUCGGGAGAAUUCACGUUAAGGAACUCGGCAAAAUACACACGUAACUUAGGGAGAAGUGUGGCCCUUCUUGGAUGUCAAAGUUUGAGAGGGGUUGCAGAGAAAAGGUUCAAGCGACUGUUUACCAAAAACAUAGGUCUCUGCGAAAUCGUAAGAUGAAGUAUAGGGACUGACACCUGCCCGGUGCUGGAAGGUUAAGAGGAGAUGUGCAAGCGUCGAAUUGAAGCCCCAGUAAACGGCGGCCGUAACUAUAACGGUCCUAAGGUAGCGAAAUUCCUUGUCGGGUAAGUUCCGACCCGCACGAAUGGUGUAACGACUUGAACGCUGUCUCAACGUGAAACCCGGUGAAAUUGAAGUAUCGGUGAAGAUGCCGAUUACCUGUGGUUAGACGGAAAGACCCCGUGAACCUUUACUGCAGCUUGGCAUUGAAAUGUGGCUUGGAAUGUGUAGGAUAGGAGGGAGACAGAGAGGCAUGGUCGCUAGGCUGUGCGGAGUCGUUGGUGAAAUACCUCCCUUUGCAAGUUAUAUUUCUAACGGUAUCCAUGAAGCUGGGUACUGGACAAUGUCAGGUGGGCGGUUUGACUGGGGCGGUCGCCUCCUAAAGAGUAACGGAGGCGCGCGAAGGUAACCUCGCGUUGGUUGGAAAUCAACGUACGAGUGCAAAGGCACAAGGUUGCUUGACUGCGAGACAUACAGGUCGAGCAGGUACGAAAGUAGGUCUUAGUGAUCUGGCGGUUCUGAGUGGAAGGGCCGUCACUUAACGGACAAAAGGUACUCCGGGGAUAACAGGCUGAUUUUGCCCAAGAGUUCAUAUCGACGGCAAAGUUUGGCACCUCGAUGUCGGCUCAUCGCAUCCUGGGGCUGGAGCAGGUCCCAAGGGUAUGGCUGUUCGCCAUUUAAAGCGGUACGCGAGCUGGGUUCAGAACGUCGCGAGACAGUUCGGUCCCUAUCUGCCACAGGCGUUGGAUGUUUGAGAGGAUCUGUUCUUAGUACGAGAGGACCGGAAUGGACGAACCUCUGGUGUACCAGUUAUCUUGCCAAAGGUACGUGCUGGGUAGCCAAGUUCGGCCGGGAUAACCGCUGAAGGCAUCUAAGUGGGAAGCCCCCCUCAAGAUGAGACAUCCCAUCCGCAUUAAGCGGACUGAAGACACCAGAGAGAAGAUCUGGUUGAUAGGCUGGCGGUCUACGCAUGGUAACAUGUUCAGCUGACCAGUACUAAUUAGUCGUGAGGCUUGACC
rnacentral:rRNA from 1 species